rnacentral:sRNA from 1 species
GUCGAAUUCCGAGAGAUAUUUCAGUUCGUAGAUAGGACGUGCAACAUUUUUUCUACUAUUUUUUGUAUUAACAGUAAACUUGUAUUAAAAUUAGUCAUCGCUUAAGGCGCCCCCCUUCGGACCAUAUACGAAGUGAUCGUUGAACGUGUAGGACUAUUUGCAGGAUCCAUCUGUUAGCCACUAGAGGCGCCAUAUCUUGUCCUUUAAGCUGGCAAUGACAUUCUUAAUGUGAAAUGCAAAAGUGAGGCGCCUAUGUAAGGUAACACACUUUCAUUGUUAUAGAGUCUUUUUGGAGUGUCUAUGUCCCCACUGCCCAUAUUUUAUGGUCGAGGCUAUUAUUCCAUCGGAAGGCACAUUUUAAAAUUUUUUCAAGAACUUUGGCAGGGUGUUCGUUGCUUUAGAAAAACAUCUGCUCCUGACUAAAAAGGGACUGCCAUGCGCAAUUGUGGCAAUCCAAUCGAUGGCUAGUGAGCAGCAUAAGUAAUGAACGUUUACAGGAUGGGCCCGAGGAUGCUUCCAAGGGGAACUACUGCAGAGAUAACUUUUGAAGUGGAAACGGUUAGACCACAGAAAAAGUCCUUUCGAAAAGGAAACUGACAAAGAUUUUGAAAAGUUGGUGGUGAAAAAGUCCUCUUAGCUUAUACAGAAGGCCCUGAUGCCAUACCCUGUCGAAUGCCUGUCGAAAUGCCCCUCACGAUGCACUUUUUCGGGGUGCCGUGGCCUUUUUUGAUGCCAAAUUAAACUCCAGAAUUGCUUAAACUCCCGAAUUAAAUAGCAAGAGGACCAGUAUGCACCUUUACAACAAGGCGAUAUUCACGGUUUAUCUCGGUAUUGGGAUAUGCUGAAGGCAAGAACAGGAGAGCAUGAUAAGGUGAUAUUACUAAUCAUACGGUUAAUGAUUCCGUCAGGACAAGGCUUCCUUUAUUUUAAGCUUCUUUAUAAUACUCCCGGUCUCUGGAAGUGAAACAGGACGAAGAGGCAAGAAAAGCUGUAGAUUUCUUCACCGUCUCACCCCUGGAAAGCUUUGAAGCGUUCUUUAAGAUCCUUAGUAAAGGCCUCUUCACGAUCUUGAGCCUACGAUAGAUCUGGUCACGGAGCCUGUCGUGUAUGCGUAGAUGUUCAUGUCAGAUCCCUGCGGAUAGCAGGGAGAUUACAGGGAGUAGAAGAGCCAGUCAAGGAUAACCCGAAAGUAAGAUGAAGCUGGUCCGAGCUUAGGUCAUGAGUACAGCAAUGAUCAUUUCUUGGGAAAGGAACUCCUGUCAGGAAAGAAAGUUUGUCUCCCAGUGGUCAAAACUUUACAAUUUCUGUAAAGCUUUAAUAAACA